rnacentral:misc_RNA from 1 species
GGCUGGCACUCCAUCUCCAACUGUAAGCUUUUCCAUGUCUUUUGCUACAAUUACUAUCAGGAACAGUUCUGGUAAAAUAUUGAUGAAGAAAACAUUAUAUAUGAUCUUAGGACAUUAGAAACAAGCUAUGCACAACAAGAACCUAAAGGUCUCACAAAUUAAAAACUUCGUUUAAAAUUAUUAACAGUGAUUCAGCACAUGUAUUACUGAAAAAAUCCUUAAAUUAUUGUUUGACGUCAUUUUUUUGGAUAUGUAAUAAUCUGUAAUUUGUGUGGUCUCUUAGAUAAGGCAUCAUUACUUCCAAUGAUGUAUUG